rfam:Octopus bimaculoides Scaffold4524_contig_29, whole genome shotgun sequence.
GCACAGGUUUCUAUCGAAACCACCAUCUUAAGUCAAUAAUUUAAG